rnacentral:rRNA from 1 species
GAUGAACGCUGGCGGCGUGCCUAAUACAUGCAAGUCGAGCGAACAGACGAGGAGCUUGCUCCUUUGACGUUAGCGGCGGACGGGUGAGUAACACGUAGGUAACCUACCUAUAAGACUGGGAUAACUUCGGGAAACCGGAGCUAAUACCGGAGAAUAUUUCGAACCGCAGGGUUCGAUAGUGAAAGAUGGCUUUGCUAUCACUUAUAGAUGGACCUGCGCCGUAUUAGCUAGUUGGUAAGGUAACGGCUUACCAAGGCAACGAUCCGUAGCCGACCUGAGAGGGUGAUCGGCCACACUGGAACUGAGACACGGUCCAGACUCCUACGGGAGGCAGCAGUAGGGAAUCUUCCGCAAUGGGCGAAAGCCUGACGGAGCAACGCCGCGUGAGUGAUGAAGGUCUUCGGAUCGUAAAACUCUGUUAUUAGGGAAGAACAAACGUGUAAGUAACUGUGCACGUCUUGACGGUACCUAAUCAGAAAGCCACGGCUAACUACGUG